rnacentral:pre_miRNA from 1 species
UGGCUCACGCUGGAGAAGCAGGGCACGUGCAAAAUCCUUCUCGGCUUCCAGAUGCUGAUGAAGCACUCUUUGCACGUGCUCCCCUCCUCCAACAUGAGUUC